ACGGAAAGGCCCUGCUUGCAGGGUACUCGAGUGGCGAACGGGUGAGUAACACGUGGGUGAUCUGCCCUGCACUUCGGGAUAAGCUUGGGAAACUGGGUCUAAUACCGGAUAGGAGCCAUCUUUAGUGUGGUGGUUGGAAAGUUUUUUCGGUGUAGGAUGAGCUCGCGGCCUAUCAGCUUGUUGGUGGGGUAAUGGCCUACCAAGGCGGCGACGGGUAGCCGGCCUGAGAGGGUGUACGGCCACAUUGGGACUGAGAUACGGCCCAGACUCCUACGGGAGGCAGCAGUGGGGAAUAUUGCACAAUGGGCGCAAGCCUGAUGCAGCGACGCCGCGUGGGGGAUGAAGGCCUUCGGGUUGUAAACUCCUUUCGCUAGGGACGAAGCUUUGUUGUGACGGUACCUAGAUAAGAAGCACCGGCUAACUACGUGCCAGCAGCCGCGGUAAUACGUAGGGUGCGAGCGUUGUCCGGAAUUACUGGGCGUAAAGGGCUCGUAGGUGGUUUGUCGCGUCGUCUGUGAAAUUCUGGGGCUUAACUCCGGGCGUGCAGGCGAUACGGGCAUAACUUGAGUGCUGUAGGGGUAACUGGAAUUCCUGGUGUAGCGGUGAAAUGCGCAGAUAUCAGGAGGAACACCGAUGGCGAAGGCAGGUUACUGGGCAGUUACUGACGCUGAG
rnacentral:rRNA from 1 species